GCCGGGCAUGGUGGUACACGCCUAUAAUCCCAGCUACUUGGGAGGCUGAGGCAGGAGGAUCACAAGUUCCAGGCCAGCCUCAGCAACUUAGUGAGGCCUUAAGCAACUUAGCGAGGCCUUAAGCAACUUAGUGAGACCCUGUCUCAA
rnacentral:sRNA from 1 species